UACGUAGGGUGCGAGCGUUGUCCGGAAUUAUUGGGCGUAAAGGGCUCGUAGGCGGUUUGUCGCGUCGGGUGUGAAAUCAUCUGGCUUAACUGGGUGCUUGCUUUCGAUACGGGCAGACUAGAGGUAUGCAGGGGAGAACGGAAUUCCUGGUGUAGCGGUGAAAUGCGCAGAUAUCAGGAGGAACACCGGUGGCGAAGGCGGUUCUCUGGGCAUGACCUGACGCUGAGGAGCGAAAGUGUGGGGAGCGAACAGG
rnacentral:rRNA from 1 species